CUGCAGGAUGGAGGGAACAUCUGUACAGAUGCUGCUGGUUUUGCUCUCACUGCUGGGCUGCACAACAAACCAAGCUCGUCUGACUGUGAGUCCCAGCAGCUCU